rnacentral:rRNA from 1 species
GAUGAACGCUGGCGGCGUGCCUAAUACAUGCAAGUCGAGCGAACAGAUGAGGAGCUUGAUCAUAUGAAGUUAGAGGCGGACGGGUGAGUAACAAGUGGAUAACAUAACUAUAAGACUGGGAUAAAUUCGGGAAAACGGAGCUAAUACCGGAUAAUAUAUUGAACCGCAUGGUUCAAUAGUGAAAGACGGUUUUGCUGUCACUUAUAGAUGGAUCCGCGCCGCAUUAGCUAGUUGGUAAGGUAACGGCUUACCAAGGCAACGAUGCGUAGCCGACCUGAGAGGGUGAUCGGCCACACUGGAACUGAGACACGGUCCAGACUCCUACGGGAGGCAGCAGUAGGGAAUCUUCCGCAAUGUGCGAAAGCCUGACGGAGCAACGCCGCGUGAGUGAUGAAGGUCUUCGGAUCAUAAAACUCUGUUAUUAGGGAAGAACAAAUGUGUAAGUAACUAUGCACGUCUUGACGGUACCUAAUCAGAAAGCCACGGCUAACUACGUG